UACGGAGGGUGCAAGCGUUAUCCGGAUUCACUGGGUUUAAAGGGUGCGUAGGCGGCUAUAUAAGUCAGUGGUGAAAGCCCGCAGCUCAACUGCGGAAUUGCCAUUGAAACUGCAUAGCUUGAAUCUGGUUGAAGUGGGCGGAAUACAUCAUGUAGCGGUGAAGUGCUUAGAUAUGAUGUAGAACACCGAUUGCGAAGGCAGCUCACUAAGCCAACAUUGACGCUGAGGCACGAAAGCGUGGGUAGCGAACAGG
rnacentral:rRNA from 1 species